UACGUAGGUGGCAAGCGUUGUCCGGAUUUACUGGGCGUAAAGAGCGCGCAGGCGGUCGGCCAAGUCGAGUGUGAAAGCCCCCGGCUCAACUGGGGAGGGUCAUUCGAUACUGGUCGACUCGAAGGCAGGAGAGGGAAGCGGAAUUCCCGGUGUAGUGGUGAAAUGCGUAGAUAGUCGGGAGGAACACCAGUGGCGAAGGCGGGUCUCUGGGCCGAUACUGACGCUGAGGAGCGAAAGCGUGGGGAGCGAACAGG
rnacentral:rRNA from 1 species